UCCCUGUAUUCCAGGUACCUCAGUGGUGAUCAUUGUGUGUGUGAGUCUGGCUGUGUUGGUGUUUGCUGUCAUCACCCUCAUAUUCUACAGGUGCUGACGACGCAACAAGGCUCUAGGGUCAAUCUCGAACAGGCCUGAUGCAGACACAGGAAGCACUGAAGAGGUUGAUGAUGAGGAAGAUGGUGAUGAUGAAGAAAAUAUAACUUCCACCCACAAUGCAGCGGCCCCUCAGCCCGUGUCUACCGCUGACCCAGAAUGCAUUGCUCAUGUCCCCGCCCUCUACCAAUCAGCCUUUUAAGCACUCGACCCUAAAGCAUUGGACCAGAACCUCAACAAUAUCACAACUACUAACUCCGGAUAGACUGUAGCACAGAGAUCCUAAUAAAAUCUGAUUUACAUGGAAUUACAUUUCAAUAUGUAAUGAAGUUCUAAUAUGUAAUUAGAUUCUAAUAUGUAAUUCUAUGCUCUGUAUUCUGAAGAGAAGAGGUCGUGUUAUCGUUACCAGAGCUGGGGUCCAAUUGAAUAGAAUUCAAUUAAAUUCAUUAAAAUAAUCACAAUUCAA